rnacentral:rRNA from 1 species
UACGUAGGCAGCGAGCGUUGUUCGGAAUUACUGGGCGUAAAGAGCGUGUAGGCGGUGUUCCCAGUCUGUUGUGAAAUCUCCCGGCUUAACUGGGAGGGUGCAGCGGAAACUAGAAUGCUAGAGGGUGGGAGAGGUAAGCGGAAUUCCUGGUGUAGCGGUGAAAUGCGUAGAUAUCAGGAGGAACACCUGUGGUGUAGACAGCUUACUGGACCACUUCUGACGCUGAGACACGAAAGCGUGGGUAGCAAACAGG